rnacentral:rRNA from 1 species
AGUGAACGCUGGCGGUAGGCCUAACACAUGCAAGUCGAACGGCAGCACAGUAAGAGCUUGCUCUUACGGGUGGCGAGUGGCGGACGGGUGAGGAAUACAUCGGAUUCUACUUUUUCGUGGGGGAUAACGUAGGGAAACUUACGCUAAUACCGCAUACGACCUACGGGUGAAAGCAGGGGAUCUUCGGACCUUGCGCGAUUGAAUGAGCCGAUGUCGGAUUAGCUAGUUGGCGGGGUAAAGGCCCACCAAGGCGACGAUCCGUAGCUGGUCUGAGAGGAUGAUCAGCCACACUGGAACUGAGACACGGUCCAGACUCCUACGGGAGGCAGCAGUGGGGAAUAUUGGACAAUGGGCGCAAGCCUGAUCCAGCCAUACCGCGUGGGUGAAGGAGGCCUUCGGGUUGUAAAGCCCUUUUGUUGGGAAAGAAAAGCAGCAGGUUAAUACCCCGCUGUUCUGACGGUACCCAAAGAAUAAGCACCGGCUAACUUCGUG